rnacentral:rRNA from 1 species
UACGUAGGUGGCGAGCGUUGUCCGGAUUUAUUGGGCGUAAAGGGCGCGCAGGUGGUGCGGUAAGGCUGCCGUGAAAUCUCCCGGCUCAACUGGGAGGGUGCGGUGGCGACUGCCGGACUGGAGGCACUCAGAGGCCGGUGGAAUUCCCGGUGUAGUGGUGAAAUGCGUAGAGAUCGGGAGGAACACCAACGGCGAAGGCAGCUCGCUGGGACGGUACUGACGCUAAGGCGCGAAAGCGUGGGGAGCGAACAGG